GUGGAAUCACCUAUAAAAGAUGGAGUUGUUGUUGAUUGGGAUAUUGUUGACAAUAUAUGGAAUCAUGCUUUUAGGGAGCAGUUAUUAAUUGAUCCCAAAGAACAUCCAAUGCUGCUUGCAGAGCCAUCUUGUAAUACUCCACAACAAAGAGAAAGGGCAGCAGAGCUCAUGUUUGAGGAUUACGAAGUUCCAGCUUUAUUUUUAGCAACAAAUGCUUGGGCGCGGAUCCACAACUGUUGCUGCUGUACAUGAUGGUUAUGUUCUUCAAAAGGUCUUCCACUGCUGCCUGCGACAAAGUAGCUCAAAUACUUGUCAUGAUGUGCGCAAUUCAACCACGUCUCAGCCAUCUCUGAAGCUUGAUAGCUAACAACUCAGGAGGCUUGAGAAAGAGUUGAUGGAGGAGGCUCCUCAAGCUGCAUGCAUUAAGCGUUUGGGUAGGAGGAAGUAUUCUGGCAUCUCUUCGGUCAUUUCAGCAAAUGUGGUUCUCCAAAUCAGAUUAUGAAGAGCAUGGGAUUUCAUAUAUUCAGAGCAAGUGCCCUUAAGAGGACCAUUAUUUUUUCUUGAACGUAGGAGAAGUAUGCAAUUUUCUUCUGCUGCAACAGUUAAACAGUUUAUAGCAACACGUUUUGUCUCCUUCUGAAUCUGUUGUCGCUAAAAAGUACUUUGCCUUUGGGGUCUUGAAUAUGCGACAUAUAUUCGCUAUAUCCUUCUAGCAUGAACCUUGUCAA